rnacentral:rRNA from 1 species
GACGAACGCUGGCGGCGUGCUUAACACAUGCAAGUCGAACGGAAAGGCCCUGCUUUUGUGGGUUGCUCGAGUGGCGAACGGGUGAGUAACACGUGAGUAACCUGCCCUUGACUUUGUGAUAUCUUCAGGAAACUGGGGCUAAUACCGGAUAGGAUCUCCUGCUGCAUGGUGGUGGUUGGAAAGUUUCGGCGGUUGGGGAUGGACUGGCGGCUUCUCCGCUUGUUGGUGUGGUAGUGGCUUACCAAGGCUUUGACGGGUAGCCGGCCUGAGAGGGUGAACGGCCACAAUGGGACUGAGAGACGGCCCAGACGCCUACGGGAGGCAGUAGGGGGGAAUAUUGCACAAUGGGCGGAAGCCUGAUGCAGCAACGCCGCGUGCGGGAUGACGGCCUUCGGGUUGUAAACCGCUUUCGCCUGUGACGAAGAGUGAGUGACGGUAAUGGGUAAAGAAGCACCGGCUAACUACGUG